UUUAAUACAAAUCAGACAUAAAACACGGUGACAAUCUCCAUUUGGCUAGGAAUCAAUAUGCUGCUGGACCUUCUGGGCUGUCCACUGCAGAACCAAUGGAUGAAGUAAGUGUCAUGUUUUCUCGAUUUGUCUGUGAUCCAUUAGUUAUUUUUUACAAAUGCUUUUGUGGCAUUCGUCUAUGUAGGAUGAUAAUUUGGAUAUGGACAUAACAAAUGCAAAUGAGACAAUUGUCCACAUGAACAUCGAGGAUGCCGUCCAUAAUAUUGAAAUGGAGGAUGCACAGGGCCAAGACAUUGAAAUGAUGGUAGAUACAGAGGAGUGCGACCAAGACACUGAGAUGAUUGAUGUUGAGGAAAGGACAUCGGAUUCAAUUCCAUCUGAAAGUAGGGGCGUCGAUUACGACUCUAAUUACUUUAACACACUGCGACCCACUUCGGAUGACAAUUAACUCCCCAUUCGAGCUCAAAAAAAAAUGUUUCUUUCCUCUCAUUCGCCUAACAGAUUUUAACUGUAUUGAGC
rnacentral:lncRNA from 1 species